UUAAGCGACUAAGCGUACACGGUGGAUGCCUAGGCAGUCAGAGGCGAUGAAGGGCGUGCUAAUCUGCGAAAAGCGUCGGUAAGCUGAUAUGAAGCGUUAUAACCGACGAUACCCGAAUGGGGAAACCCAGUGCAAUACGUUGCACUAUCGUUAGAUGAAUACAUAGUCUAACGAGGCGAACCGGGGGAACUGAAACAUCUAAGUACCCCGAGGAAAAGAAAUCAACCGAGAUUCCCCCAGUAGCGGCGAGCGAACGGGGAGGAGCCCAGAGUCUGAAUCAGUUUGUGUGUUAGUGGAAGCGUCUGGAAAGUCGCACGGUACAGGGUGAUAGUCCCGUACACCAAAAUGCACAGGCUGUGAACUCGAUGAGUAGGGCGGGACACGUGACAUCCUGUCUGAAUAUGGGGGGACCAUCCUCCAAGGCUAAAUACUCCUGACUGACCGAUAGUGAACCAGUACCGUGAGGGAAAGGCGAAAAGAACCCCGGCGAGGGGAGUGAAAUAGAACCUGAAACCGUGUACGUACAAGCAGUGGGAGCACCUUCGUGGUGUGACUGCGUACCUUUUGUAUAAUGGGUCAGCGACUUAUAUUUUGUAGCAAGGUUAACCGAAUAGGGGAGCCGUAGGGAAACCGAGUCUUAACUGGGCGUCUAGUUGCAAGGUAUAGACCCGAAACCCGGUGAUCUAGCCAUGGGCAGGUUGAAGGUUGGGUAACACUAACUGGAGGACCGAACCGACUAAUGUUGAAAAAUUAGCGGAUGACUUGUGGCUGGGGGUGAAAGGCCAAUCAAACCGGGAGAUAGCUGGUUCUCCCCGAAAGCUAUUUAGGUAGCGCCUCGUGAACUCAUCUUCGGGGGUAGAGCACUGUUUCGGCUAGGGGGCCAUCCCGGCUUACCAAACCGAUGCAAACUCCGAAUACCGAAGAAUGUUAUCACGGGAGACACACGGCGGGUGCUAACGUCCGUCGUGAAGAGGGAAACAACCCAGACCGCCAGCUAAGGUCCCAAAGUCAUGGUUAAGUGGGAAACGAUGUGGGAAGGCACAGACAGCCAGGAUGUUGGCUUAGAAGCAGCCAUCAUUUAAAGAAAGCGUAAUAGCUCACUGGUCGAGUCGGCCUGCGCGGAAGAUGUAACGGGGCUAAACCAUGCACCGAAGCUGCGGCAGCGACACUUAGGUGUUGUUGGGUAGGGGAGCGUUCUGUAAGCCGUUGAAGGUGACCUGUGAGGGUUGCUGGAGGUAUCAGAAGUGCGAAUGCUGACAUAAGUAACGAUAAUGCGGGUGAAAAACCCGCACGCCGGAAGACCAAGGGUUCCUGUCCAACGUUAAUCGGGGCAGGGUGAGUCGACCCCUAAGGCGAGGCUGAAAAGCGUAGUCGAUGGGAAACAGGUUAAUAUUCCUGUACUUGGUGUUACUGCGAAGGGGGGACGGAGAAGGCUAGGCUGGCCGGGCGACGGUUGUCCCGGUUUAAGCGUGUAGGGGGAGUGACCAGGUAAAUCCGGUUGCUUAUCAACCCUGAGGCGUGAUGACGAUGCACUACGGUGCAGAAGCAGUUGAUGCCAUGCUUCCAGGAAAAGCCUCUAAGCAUCAGGUAACAUUAAAUCGUACCCCAAACCGACACAGGUGGUCAGGUAGAGAAUACUCAGGCGCUUGAGAGAACUCGGGUGAAGGAACUAGGCAAAAUGGUGCCGUAACUUCGGGAGAAGGCACGCUGGCGUUAGGUGAAAGGACUAGCUCCUNGAGCUGAAGCCAGUCGCAGAUACCAGCUGGCUGCAACUGUUUAAUAAAAACACAGCACUGUGCAAACACGAAAGUGGACGUAUACGGUGUGACGCCUGCCCGGUGCUGGAAGGUUAAUUGAUGGGGUCAGCCGCAAGGCGAAGCUCUUGAUCGAAGCCCCAGUAAACGGCGGCCGUAACUAUAACGGUCCUAAGGUAGCGAAAUUCCUUGUCGGGUAAGUUCCGACCUGCACGAAUGGCGUAAUGAUGGCCAGGCUGUCUCCACCCGAGACUCAGUGAAAUUGAACUCGCUGUGAAGAUGCAGUGUACCCGCGGCAAGACGGAAAGACCCCGUGAACCUUUACUAUAGCUUGACACUGAACAUUGAGCCUUGAUGUGUAGGAUAGGUGGGAGGCCUUGAAGUGUGGACGCCAGUCUGCAUGGAGCCAACCUUGAAAUACCACCCUUUAAUGUUUNWNNUCUAACUCGGCCCCAUGAUCUGGGGUGAGGACAGUGUCUGGUGGGUAGUUUGACUGGGGCGGUCUCCUCCCAAAGAGUAACGGAGGAGCACGAAGGUUAGCUAAUCACGGUCGGACAUCGUGAGGUUAGUGCAAAGGCAUAAGCUAGCUUGACUGCGAGAGUGACGGCUCGAGCAGGUACGAAAGUAGGUCUUAGUGAUCCGGUGGUUCUGAAUGGAAGGGCCAUCGCUCAACGGAUAAAAGGUACUCCGGGGAUAACAGGCUGAUACCGCCCAAGAGUUCAUAUCGACGGCGGUGUUUGGCACCUCGAUGUCGGCUCAUCACAUCCUGGGGCUGAAGUAGGUCCCAAGGGUAUGGCUGUUCGCCAUUUAAAGUGGUACGCGAGCUGGGUUUAGAACGUCGUGAGACAGUUCGGUCCCUAUCUGCCGUGGGCGUUGGAAGAUUGAGAGGGGCUGCUCCUAGUACGAGAGGACCGGAGUGGACGAAUCACUGGUGUUCGGGUUGUCAUGCCAAUGGCAUUGCCCGGUAGCUAAAUUCGGAAGAGAUAACCGCUGAAAGCAUCUAAGCGGGAAACUUGCCUCGAGAUGAGUCUUCCCUGGGRCUUAAAGNCCCCUGAAGGAACGUUAAAGACUAUGACGUUGAUAGGCUGGGUGUGUAAGUGCAGCGAUGUAUUGAGCUAACCAGUACUAAUGAUCCGUGAGGCUUAACCUU
rnacentral:rRNA from 1 species